rnacentral:rRNA from 1 species
GACGAACGCUGGCGGCGGGCUUAACACAUGCAAGUCGAACGGAAAGGCCCUGCUUUUGUGGGGUGCUCGAGUGGCGAACGGGUGAGUAACACGUGAGUAACCUGCCCUUGCCUUUGGGAUAACUUCAGGAAACUGGGGCUAAUACCGGAUCGGAGCUCCUGCUGCAUGGUGGGGGUUGGAAAGUUUCGGCGGUUGGGGAUGGACUCGCGGCUUAUCAGCUUGUUGGUGGGGUAGUGGCUUACCAAGGCUUUGGCGGGUAGCCGGCCUGAGAGGGUGACCGGCAAAAGUGGGAGUGAGAUACGGCACAGACUCCUACGGGAGGCAGCAGUGGGGAAUAUUGCACAAUGGGCGGAAGCCGGAUGCAGCAACGCCGCGUGAGGGAUGACGGCCUGCGGGUUGGAGGCCGCAAUCGCCUGUGACGAAGCGUGAGUGACGGUAAUGGGUAAAGAAGCACCGGCUAAUUACGUG